rnacentral:snRNA from 1 species
GUUGGAUUGUUCACCCACCA